UACAGUGGCCAGUGAGUGUACAUAAAUUACUCACAAAAGCUAAGCAGGGUUGAGCUUGGCCAGUACCUGGAUGGAAGACCUCCUGGGGAAAACUAAGGUUGCUGCUGGAA
rnacentral:rRNA from 1 species